AUUGAACGCUGGCGGCAUGCCUAACACAUGCAAGUCGAACGAGUGGCGGACGGGUGAGUAAUGUCUGGGAAACUGCCCGAUGGAGGGGGAUAACUACUGGAAACGGUAGCUAAUACCGCAUACCAUCGGAUGUGCCCAGAUGGGUUUAGCUAGUAGGUGGGGUAAUGGCUCAGCAAGGCGACGAUCCCUAGCUGGUCUGAGAGGAUGACCAGCCACACUGGAACAGAGACACGGUCCAGACUCCUACGGGAGGCGGCAUUGGGAAAUAUUGAACAAUGGGGGCAAGCCUGAUGCAGCCAUGCCGCGUGUAUGAAGAAGGCCUGCGGGUUGUAAAGUAGUUUCAGCGAGGAGGCGUUACUCGCAGAAGAAGCACCGGCUAACUCCGUGCCAGCAGCCGCGGUAAUUC
rnacentral:rRNA from 1 species